rnacentral:rRNA from 1 species
UGGGGAAUUUUGGACAAUGGGCGAAAGCCUGAUCCAGCAAUGCCGCGUGUGUGAAGAAGGCCUUCGGGUUGUAAAGCACUUUUGUCCGGAAAGAAAUCCUUGGCUCUAAUACAGUCGGGGGAUGACGGUACCGGAAGAAUAAGCACCGGCUAACUACGUGCCAGCAGCCGCGGUAAUACGUAGGGUGCAAGCGUUAAUCGGAAUUACUGGGCGUAAAGCGUGCGCAGGCGGUUUGCUAAGACCGAUGUGAAAUCCCCGGGCUCAACCUGGGAACUGCAUUGGUGACUGGCAGGCUAGAGUAUGGCAGAGGGGGGUUAGAAUUCCACGUGUAGCAGUGAAAUGCGUAGAGAUGUGGAGGAAUACCGAUGGCGAAGGCAGCCCCCUGGGCCAAUACUGACGCUCAUGCACGAAAGCGUGGGGAGCAAAACAGGAUUAGAUACCCUGGUAGUCCACGCCCUAAACGAUGUCAACUAGUUGUUGGGGAUUCAUUUCCUUAGUAACGUAGCUAACGCGUGAAGUUGACCGCCUGGGGAGUACGGUCGCAAGAUUAAAACUCAAAUGAAUUGACGGGGU